CAGUAGCCACGGUAAUACGGAGGGUGCAAGCGUUAAUCGGAAUUACUGGGCGUAAAGCGCACGCAGGCGGUCUGACAAGUCAGAUGUGAAAUCCCCGGGCUUAACCUGGGAACUGCAUUUGAAACUGUCAGGCUGGAGUCUUGUAGAGGGGGGUAGAAUUCCAGGUGUAGCGGUGAAAUGCGUAGAGAUCUGGAGGAAUACCGGUGGCGAAGGCGGCCCCCUGGACAAAGACUGACGCUCAGGUGCGAAAGCGUGGGGAGCAAACAGGAUUAGAUACCCCGGUAGUCCCUGUCUCUUAUAC
rnacentral:rRNA from 1 species